GGGUGGAAACAGUCUCUUGUUUAAGGCUGUGGUCUGUCUUGAGACAACUUUCAAGUUGAGCCCACUUUCCAAGAUCUCUUCAGUUUCCAAACGGGUCAAGGGCCAGUGUUAUCUGUUUCCAUAGUGUAGUGGUUAUCACGUUCGCCUAACACGCGAAAGGUCCCCAGUUCGAAACUGGGUGGAAACAGUCUCUUGUUUAAGGCUGUGGUCUGUCUUGAGACAACUUUCAAGUUGAGCCCACUUUCCAAGAUCUCUUCAGUUCCAAACGGGGCAAGGGCCAGUGUUAUCUGUUUCCAUAGUGUAGUGGUUAUCACGUUCGCUUUACACGCGAAAGGUCCCCAGUUCGAAACUGGGUGGAAACAGUCUCUUGUUUAAGGCUGUGGUCUGUCUUGAGACAACUUUCAAGUUGAGCCCACUUUCCAAGAUCUCUUCAGUUCCAAACGGGGCAAGGGCCAGUGUUAUCUGUUUCCAUAGUGUAGUGGUUAUCACGUUCGCUUUACACGCGAAAGGUCCCCAGUUCGAAACUGGGUGGAAACAGUCUCUUGUUUGAGGCUGUGGUCUGUCUUGAGACAACUUUCAAGUUGAGCCCACUUUCCAAGAUCUCUUCAGUUCCAAACGGGGCAAGGGCCAGUGUUAUCUGUUUCCAUAGUGUAGUGGUUAUCACGUUCGCCUAACACGCGAAAGGUCCCCAGUUCGAAACUGGGUGGAAACAGUCUCUUGUUUAAGGAUGUGGUCUGUCUUGGCACAAGUCCCUCACUAGACCCACUUUCCAAGAUCUCUUCAGUUCCAAACGGGGCAAGGGCCAGUGUUAUCUGUUUCCAUAGUGUAGUGGUUAUCACGUUCGCCUCACACGCGAAAGGUCCCCAGUUCGAAACUGGGUGGAAA